rnacentral:lncRNA from 1 species
AACUUGCUUCUCCAGCUCCCAGGGUUCCAGAUUAGCCCAAUCUAGGUUUCCCUGUCAGACUUCUAGCUUUUCCACUCUGCUGAGAUACCCUGGGCUCAGCCCCUUCUGCUCAGUUCUCCAUCCCCAAACAAAGGAAACCUGGAGGGCAAGCCCAUUCCCCAGGGGAGGCUACAGACCAAGAAAGAAGGGUGGAAACCUCAGACAGAGGCUCUCCAAGCAAUGUCAAGGAUCUUUUAAGCAUUUAGAGACCUAUCUUGUGUGCUGGGCCUGUGCAAGAUGCUGGGAUACAGUGAUGAACAAUGGCAGGCACUAUCCCUGUCCUUCAGGAGCAGAGGCAGGUAGCAAGGAAUGACAGAGUGAGGAGUGCUGGAAAAGAAGCGAUGGGCAGAAUGGCUCCCACUUCAUCUGGGACUACCUGACCUGCCUGGUAAGCAGGAGGGGAGCCUGGAGAGAGAACUAAGUUUGGAGAGGCAGAGGGGUUGGUCCUGUCUUGAUCCAAAGACCAGGAUGCCACUCAGAUUUUAGGACACUGAUUAUUUUCACCCAGCUAUCAUCUUUUGUUAUUGUUUAUUUACAGCUUUAUUGAGGUAUAAUUUAAAAACUUUAAAGUUCACCCACUGUAAAUAUAGUUUAUGGAAUAGAUCUGUACAACUGCACAAACACAAUCCAACGUCCAUUGCCCCAAAAGGGUUGUGUGCCCUUCAGCAGUCAAUCCUGCUCCCACUCCCAGCCCUACCCAACCACUGAUCUGCUUUGACUCCCUAGUUUGCC